UCACUCCGUGUCCAUCCUCUGGUUAUCCUCUAAAUUUUUGAUUUUGAGCCAGUAUCUAUUUCCUCACACGUCACUAUUCAUGGCCGAUUUAAAAACAUCGCAUGCGAUCGGUCGCAGGUCAAACAGCAUAAAUAUUUAUAUUAUUAUUGGAUGGUUCAGAAAAUACCAAAAAUAUUCUACGAGUAUGGGAAAAAAAAAAUUGUCCUCGUUUUAUUUUUUUCUAUAAUUUUUACAAUAAAUAACAUUUCCAUCCCACCUUUGUCACUAGCGCUAGUGAAGUGGAGUGGAGCCUGCACGAACUUCGCUCGAGGUAGAUCUAGUAAUGACUUAGUGCUGGCUAGCGACCGACGGGUUUCCAUUCUCAGCCAUUCACUGAUAAUUCAGUUAAGACAGUGUGUUCCAUGUGUGUAUGUGUGAUGCGAAGCUACCUCAGCUCAAGCGAUGUAGACGACCUUGUUGGAGCGUACAGUGUAGCGGUAGUGAAGUGGAGUGGAGCCUGCACGAACAUCGCUUUAGAAUUACGUCGUCGGUUGACAUCUACCUAUACCCAUGGAUUAUCUCCAUCACCUUAACAACCUUGAAUUGCUAAGAGAGCUACCUUUGCCAAGACCACAUCGUGGGCUACGGGAUGCUAGAAAUCCAUCGGAAUCGUAUGAGGAUGGGCCAUUUCGAGAUCGGUAUCGACUGUCAAAAGAAACCGUCAUUUACAUCAUCAACAUGCUGGAAGCCGAAUUGAAGAGGGACACACAGAGGAAUGAUCCACUUCCCGUUUAUUUGCAGGUGUUGACGGCUCUCCGUUUUCAUGCAGUGGGUGAGUAAUUGAAUUAAACGAUUAUUGAAUGUUUCUGGGCACUGUUAAAUCUAUUUGACUGAGGUUGUUUCUAUUAAUUUUAGGACUCCAGACAAAGUUGAUGAUGAUGACAAUAUCUAGAAAUCAGAGAGGGAUCACAU